CAACCACAGCAACCUUAUCCUCCUGAUGUAUAAACCCCAAAAAUACGGUUGAUUAAUAGUUAUUCACACAAUAAUCAUAGUUAUGAGUAAACAAAAGAAGAAAUAGAAAGCCAAAAGCAGUUUGAAACUGGAGCAAACGAGAGAACAGGCUUCACAAUCUGUUCAAAAGCCACAAAUAUGCAGGUCACCAAUUGGGAACUUAAUUAUUUCUCAAUUAAUAAGGAAAAAAAAUCCCGGGAUUACACCAGUUUCCACAAAAAGGAUCAAAAGCCUAAAGAGAUUCAACCUGGCUCAAUACAACAACUAUUGGCACCACUGAGUUGAGCUUUCCCUAGAACGUAAAAUAGACAAAUAAUAAUUUUCUAGAAAACCAAACAGCAGUGUGUGUGCGUGUGUGUGGGCGCGCGCGCGCGCGCGCG
rnacentral:misc_RNA from 1 species